rnacentral:lncRNA from 1 species
CACGUGUACCCAUAUGCCUCAUCUCCACCGUUCACGCCAGAUCACCCGGUCAGCCUUUCGGUCACCUCUCAAACCUCUAACAGCCCUUCGAUCAACAAGAUGAUUGUAUCCAACGGUUAUCAUGUUGCCCGAAACUCAACCGGGCAGAUCUCAUCGCCUUUAAGAACCGAGCCUAGCCUUCUCUUGUUCCUCGCUCAACGAAGGGGUUAGAUCCCAAACCCAGUCUUCACGUUUAAUAAUUUUUUAGCCUUUUUUCGUGUCGAAUUCUUUGCUACACUGGUGUAAGUUGGCGCGUGGUGGUUAUUGAGGUGGCGCGUGUCGGAAACGUUGUUCUCUUUCAUGGUUUUAUCCUGUCAAUUUGAAUCGGGAAUCCCUCGCCGGAACCCUACCGGCUCCCGAUAAUUUAAUGGCAUCUGCCGUGUUAGCGAAUCGGAGCGAUUCAAAUUGGCCACCGCAGCCGAAAGGCAGUGUUGCUAAAUUCAUGGGCAAGGUUCCCUUCACAGCAACGAAACCAAACCCUAACCCUAAAUUCAACAAGAAACGUCAAUUCCACCAUCAUUUGGCGCCACCUGAUGAUGUAGCCGGCCAUGUCGUGGAUGAUUCUCCCGCCGUGACCCAAUCCGCAGCUUCUGAUGAUGCGUCGUCGAUAAAUCCGAAGCUGAAUGAUUUCAGCUCGGGCGCUUACGUCAGCUUUCGCAUCAGCUCUUAUUCAAGGAAGGAGUUGAUUGAUCUGAAAAAUCAGUUGGUUGCCGAGUUGGAGCAGAUUCGUGAAUUGAGGAAUCGGAUCGAGUCGAAUGAUUUUCACGUUAGAUCCAGCUCAAACAAGAAAUCGUUGCCCAAGAAAAACAUUUCCGGCAACAAACGGCCUUUACCGUCGAAUUUCAGCAAAGAAUUUAAGAGAUUGAACCCUCAAGAGAACGGAAAAGCUUCCACGGCUCAUUUGAUGAAAAGCUGUUCCCAAAUCUUGACCAAAUUGAUGAAAAACAAGCACGGCUACAUCUUCAAUUCGCCUGUGGAUGUUAUUGGAAUGGGUCUUCAUGACUAUUACGACAUAAUCAAGAACCCGAUGGAUCUGGGCACUGUGAAAUCGAGGAUGUCGAAGAAUUUCUACGGGUCUCCCUUGGAAUUUGCGACGGAUGUAAGGCUCACUUUUAAUAACGCCAUGUUGUAUAACCCUAAGGGGCAUGAGGUUUAUGUGUUGGCCGAGCAAUUUCUUGCAAAAUUUGAGGAACUGUUCCGGCCGUUGAGCUUGAAACUGGAGGAGCAAGAUGAGCCUCCCGAAAGGGGUUAUUACGAGGAAGAGUUGCAGGCGAGUUCUUGGGAUCACGGUGAAGCUGAUAGGUUGAAGAAAGAUAGGGAAAGAGAUAGUGAGAGGAUAAUUGUCGAUAGGGAUGAUUCGGGUAAUUUUGUGUCGAGAUCUGAUAGAAUUGAUAGAAUUGGAGGGGUAUCGGGCUUUGUUUCGAACCCGAAUGUACCACCACCACAGAUGCACUUGCAGGCGCCGGCAAGGGUGCCUUCACCUGUAAGGCCACCACCUGUGAAGUCAUUGAAGCAGCCGAAGCCAAAGGCUAAGGAUCCGAACAAGAGGGAAAUGAGUAUGGAAGAGAAGCAAAAGUUGGGGAUUGGAUUGCAGAGCUUACCUCAAGAGAAGAUGGAUAAUGUGGUUCAGAUUAUAAGGAAAAGGAAUGGGCAUUUGAGGCAAGAUGGGGAUGAGAUCGAACUCGACAUUGAGGCAAUGGAUACCGAGACGUUGUGGGAGUUAGAUCGGUUUGUCACUAAUUACAAGAA